CCAUUCGCUGGAGCGUUACGCACGUAACGACCUGGCUACCGAAUUUCUUGACGACCAUAGAGCAUUGGAACCACCUGAUCCCAUCCCGAACUCAGAAGUGAAACGAUGCAUCGCCGAUGGUAGUGUGGGGUUUCCCCAUGUGAGAGUAGGUCAUCGUCAAGA
rnacentral:rRNA from 1 species